AAGCUCGUAGUUGAAUUUCGGGGUUUACCCAUUGGUCAGGCUUAAUUGUCUGCACUGGUGAGAUGAAUCUCUACCUUCUGAGGAACUUUCAUGCCAUUUAUUUGGUGUGAUGGGAAAUCAGGACUGUUACUUUGAAAAAAUUAGAGUGUUCAAAGCAGGCUAACGUCUGAAUACAUUAGCAUGGAAUAAUGAAAUAGGACGGACUGAUACUAUUUCGUUGGUUUCUAGGAUCACCGUAAUGAUUAAUAGGGAUAGUUGGGAAGGGC
rnacentral:rRNA from 1 species